AUUGAACGCUGGCGGCAGGCCUAACACAUGCAAGUCGAGCGGAGCGGCGGACGGGCGAGUAAACCCAGGAAUCUACCCGGUCGUGGGGGAUAACGUUCGGACACGGACGCUAAUAUCCUACCCUAUCAGAUGAGCCUUGGUCGGAUUAGCUAGUUGGUGAGGUAAGGGCCCACCAAGGCUACGAUCCGUCACUGGUCUGAGAGGAUGAUCAGUCACACUGGAACUGAGACACGGUCCAGACUCCGACGGGAGGCAGCAGUGGGGAAUAUUGGACAAUGGGCGAAAGCCUGAUCCAGCCAUGCCGCGUGUGUGAAGAAGGUCUGCGGAUUGUAAAGCACUUUAAGUUGGGAGGCGUUACCGACAGAAUAAGCACCGGCUAACUCUGUGCCAGCAGCCGCGGUAAUUC
rnacentral:rRNA from 1 species